CCUACGGGAGGCAGCAGUGGGGAAUAUUGCACAAUGGGCGGAACCCUGAUCCAGCGACGCCGCGUGAGGGAAGAAGUAUUUCGGUAUGUUAAGCUCUAUCAGCAGGGGAGAAAAUCACCGUACCUGACUAAGAAGCCCCGUCGAACUACGAGCAAGCAGCCGCGGUAAUACGUAGGGGGCAGGCGUUAUCCGGAUGUACUGGGUGUAAAGGGAGCGCAGACGGCUGUGCAAGUCUGUAGUGAAAGGCGGGGGCCCAACCCCCGGCCUGCUGUGGAAACCGGAAUGCUGGAGUGCAGGAGAGGUAAGCGGAAUUCGUGGUGUAGCGGUGAAAUGCGUAGAUAUUAGGAGGAACACCAGUGGCGAAGGCGGCUUGCUGGACUGCAACUGACGUUGAGGCUCGAAAGCGUGGGGAGCAAACAGGAUUAGAUACCCGAGUAGUC
rnacentral:rRNA from 1 species